AUGGGAUGGAGCUGGAUCAUCCUCUUCCUCCUGUCAGUAACUACAGGUGUCUACUCCCAGGUCCAGCUGCAGCAGUCUGGGCCUGAGCUGGUGAGGCCUGGUGCCUCAGUGAAGCUGUCCUGCAAGGCUUCUGGCUUCACCUUUACCAGCUACCAUAUGAACUGGGUGAAGCAGAGGCCUGGACAGGACCUGGAGUGGAUUGGAAACAUAUAUCCUGGAAAUGGUAAUACAUACUACAUUCAGACGUUCCAGGGCAAGGCCAAACUGACUGUAGAUAAAUCCUCCAGCACAGCCUACAUGGAGCUCAGCAGCCUGACAUCUGAGGACUCUGCGGUCUAUUACUGUGCAACACACAGUGUUACAACCCACAUCCUGAAUGUGUCAGAGUCCCUGGAGGAGCAGGAAGCUGCCCUGGGACUGAGAUGA